CACGAACGCUGGCGGCGUGCCUAACACAUGCAAGUCGAGCGAGUGAAUCUCCUUCGGGAGUGAAGCUAGCGGCGGACGGGUGAGUAACACGUGGGCAACCUGCCUCAUAGAGGGGAAUAGCCUUCCGAAAGGGAGAUUAAUACCGCAUAAGAUUGUAGCUUCGCAUGAAGUAGCAACUAAAGGAGCAAUCCGCUAUGAGAUGGGCCCGCGGCGCAUUAGCUAGUUGGUGAGGUAAUGGCUCACCAAGGCGACGAUGCGUAGCCGACCUGAGAGGGUGAUCGGCCACAUUGGGACUGAGACACGGCCCAGACUCCUACGGGAGGCAGCAGUGGGGAAUAUUGCACAAUGGGGGAAACCCUGAUGCAGCAACGCCGCGUGAGUGAUGACGGCCUUCGGGUUGUAAAGCUCUGUCUUCAGGGACGAUAAUGACGGUACCUGAGGAGGAAGCCACGGCUAACUACGUGCCAGCCGCCGCAGUAACAC
rnacentral:rRNA from 1 species